GGCCUAACACAUGCAAGUCGAGGGGUAUAGUUCUUCGGAACUAGAGACCGGCGCACGGGUGCGUAACGCGUAUGCAAUCUACCUUUUACAGAGGGAUAGCCCAGAGAAAUUUGGAUUAAUACCUCAUAGCAUAGCAGUCUCGCAUGAGAUCACUAUUAAAGUCACAACGGUAAAAGAUGAGCAUGCGUCCCAUUAGCUAGUUGGUAAGGUAACGGCUUACCAAGGCUACGAUGGGUAGGGGUCCUGAGAGGGAGAUCCCCCACACUGGUACUGAGACACGGACCAGACUCCUACGGGAGGCAGCAGUGAGGAAUAUUGGUCAAUGGGCGCAAGCCUGAACCAGCCAUGCCGCGUGCAGGAUGACGGUCCUAUGGAUUGUAAACUGCUUUUGUACGAGAAGAAACACUGAUUCGUGAAUCAGCUUGACGGUAUCGUAAGAAUAAGGAUCGG
rnacentral:rRNA from 1 species